AAUAUAUUUUUUUGUUUGCUGUUUCAAAGUUAAUCCAAAGUUAAAAAAAAAAAAAAAACUUUCGUAUGCGGUGAAAAUAACGAUAUUAUUUUUUAUAAUCAAAGCUUUUGCGUUGAAAGUCUGAAUUAUUCAACGAAAGCUUCAAAAGAGUUAUAAAAAUAAAACAAAACAAAAAAAUGUCUGCUCGUUAGUCCUAGCCGGCUGCACUGUAUUAAAUUCAUUAAACUUCGAACGAGGUCGAAAAAAAAAAA